UAAAAUAUUCUAGGAGCUUGAGGGGCCCUUGGGUGGCUCAGUCAGUUGAGCAUGUGACCCUUGGUUUCGGCCCAGGUCAUGAUCUCAGGAUCCUGGGAUGAAGCC